GAUGAAGAACGCAGCGAAAUGCGAUAAGUAUUGUGAAUUGCAGAAUUCAGUGAAUCAUCGAAUCUUUGAACGCACAUUGCGCCCGCCAGUAUUCUGGCGGGCAUGCCUGUUCGAGCGUCAUUACAACCCUCAGGCCCCCGGGCCUGGCGUUGGGGAUCGGCGGAAGCCCCCUGCGGGCACAACGCCGUCCCCCAAAUACAGUGGCGGUCCCGCCGCAGCUUCCAUUGCGUAGUAGCUAACACCUCGCAACUGGAGAGCGGCGCGGCCACGCCGUAAAACACCCAACUUCUGAAUGUUGACCUCGAAUCAGGUAGGAAUACCCGCUGAACUUAAGCAUAUCAAUAAGCGGAGGA
rnacentral:misc_RNA from 1 species